GACGAACGCUGGCGGCGUGCUUAACACAUGCAAGUCGAACGGAAAGGCCCCUUUGGGGGUACUCGAGUGGCGAACGGGCGAGUAACACGUGAGUAACCUGCCCUUGACUUCGGGAUAACUACAGGAAACUGGGGCUAAUACCGGAUAGGAAUGCUUGCUGCAUGGAGGGGGGUGGAAAGCUUCGGGGGGUUUUGGUGGACUGGCGGCUUAUUAGCUUGUUGGUGGGGGAGUGGCUUACCAAGGCAUUGACGGGUAGGCGGCCUGAGGGGGCGACCGGCCACCUUGGGGCUGGGAUUCCGCCCAGACUCCCACCGGGGGCAGCAGUGGGGAAUAUUGCCCAAUGGGCGGGAGCCUGAUUCAGCAACGCCGCGUGCGGGAUGACGGCCUUCGGGUUGGAAACCGCUUUCAGCAGGGGCGAAGCUUGUGGUGACGGUACCUGCAGAAGAAGCACCGGCUAACUACGUG
rnacentral:rRNA from 1 species